CGUGAGGUUGCAGACCGGACAGCGAGCCUCCCUCGUUCCGACGUUGCUCUGACCUCCGGAGAUGACAAGUGAGCAAGAAGUGUCCGAUCGGGCCAUCCCCUUCAGCAUUCAUCCUACUGGGAGAACUCACCCUAAACAUGGAAUACCUUGCUCACCCCUUGACACAAAGUUGCAGCUGAUAAGACAAAAGAGAGAAGAGCCACUACACAUCUGCCCUUCUUCAGGCCUCUUCAUCCAGCCAACAGUCUCUCACACCUGUUCUUCUUUACCACUAUUUUCCUCCUUUCUUCUCCGGACCUGGAAUGUAAAAUUGGCCUUCAAAUUAAUUAACAAAAGUAGGCCUCUGGCAACUGUUCCGGCCCUACAAUCUCAAAGCCCUCACUUGAGAUAUAAAAAGAAAGGAAAUCAGGACUGUGUGCAUAUUCUUUUUUAACUCUUUUUUUUUCUUUUUCUUUUUUUAACCAUCUAACCCAUCUUCCCCUGCAUUAAGUCUGGGUUAAUGCACCCCUGCCACUCGAAACAGCACUUGUCGGAAAUAUGGGAAAUUGUUAAAAGAGACGAAACCUCACUGGCUCUGUACUGAGCCUGGAGCCUGGAGCCUGGAGCCUGCUUUGGAUUCUGUGUCUCCCUCUCUCUCUGCCCCUCCCCCGCUCAUGCUCUGUCCCUCAAAAAUAAAGAAACAUUUUAAAAUUUUUUCA
rnacentral:lncRNA from 1 species